UACGUAGGCAGCAAGCGUUUGUUCGGAGUUACUGGGCGUAAAGGGUGUGUAGGCGGCCUUCUAAGUUUGGUGUGAAAUCUCCCGGCUCAACUGGGAGGGUGCGCCGAAUACUGAAGGGCUAGAGUGCGGGAGAGGAGAGUGGAAUUCCUGGUGUAGCGGUGAAAUGCGUAGAGAUCCGGAGGAACACCGAUGGCGAAGGCAGCUCGCUGGGACGGUACUGACGCUGAGGCGCGAAAGCUAGGGGAGCAAACGGG
rnacentral:rRNA from 1 species